rnacentral:rRNA from 1 species
AGGGGCCCAAGUUGACAGACUCCGGCAUAAAAAGUGGCUAAUAUAAUAUUUCACUAAAGUCAAACACCUUCAAAACUGUUAUACGCUCUCGAAGACAGGAAGCCCUUCCACGAAAGUGACUUUAAAUACUAUUACUCCACGAAAGCUAGGAAACAAACUGGGAUUAGAUACCCCACUAUG